GGUGAGUAACACGUGGGCAACCUGCCUGUAAGAUCGGGAUAACGCCGGGAAACCGGGGCUAAUACCGGAUAUUUUUUUCCUCCGCAUGGAGGAAAAAGGAAAGACGGCUUCGGCUGUCACUUACAGAUGGGCCCGCGGCGCAUUAGCUAGUUGGUGGGGUAACGGCUCACCAAGGCCACGAUGCGUAGCCGACCUGAGAGGGUGAUCGGCCACAUUGGGACUGAGACACGGCCCAAACUCCUACGGGAGGCAGCAGUAGGGAAUCUUCCGCAANGGACGAAAGUCUGACGGAGCAACGCCGCGUGAGUGAAGAAGGCCUUCGGGUCGUAAAACUCUGUUGCCGGGGAAGAACAAGUGCCGUUCGAACAGGGCGGCGCCUUGACGGUACCCGGCCAGAAAGCCACGGCUAACUACGUGCCAGCAGCCGCGGUAAUACGUAGGUGGCAAGCGUUGUCCGGAAUUAUUGGGCGUAAAGCGCGCGCAGGCGGCUUCUUAAGUCUGAUGUGAAAUCUUGCGGCUCAACCGCAAGCGGUCAUUGGAAACUGGGANGCUUGAGUGCAGAAGAGGAGAGUGGAAUUCCACGUGUAGCGGUGAAAUGCGUAGAGAUGUGGAGGAACACCAGUGGCGAAGGCGGUUCUCUGGUCUGUAACUGACGCUGANGCGCGAAAGCGUGGGGAGCAAACAGGAUUAGAUACCCUGGUAGUCCACGCC
rnacentral:rRNA from 1 species